UUCAGGGAGAAAAUGUCCUUGUUUACUCUUAUGUUAUAGGUCCUGUGUAUGGAAAAUAUUUUUUCCACUGUUUUUUCAGGCUAACAGACCAAGACACUGGGACCACACAAGAUUUACUGAAACCAAAUCUUUUGGGUUUUUAUAACAAAAUUCAGAGAAAAAUGGAGGAAAAGUCUGAAUCCAACUAUGAAAGAGAGCGGAGAGUACUGAUUGUGGGGCCACAAAUGUCUGGGAGGCACUCUGUUGGAAACACAAUCCUAGGUAGAGAGGCUUUUCAAUCUGGGGGAAUCACUKCCCAGUGUGAGAAGAGAGGUGGAGGAGUGAGUGGGAAGAAGGUCACUCUGGUCAAAGCUCCUGGCUGGUGGAGGAAAUAUUGUUUAGGUGACACACCAGAGUUGGUUAAGAGAGAAUAAGCAGCACAUCUCUGUGCCACCCUGGACCCCAUGCUUUCAUACUUGUGGUUGAGGCUGUCGGUUCACAGAAGCAAGCAGGAAAUCAGUAGAGGAACACCUGGAGCUUCCCAGUGAGAGAGUCUGGGGUUGUUCACCUAUGGGGAAGGUCUGGGAGACACAACARCCAUUGAGCAGCACAUUGAGAAUGAAGGGGAGGCACUCCAGUGGCUCAUUGAGAAAUGUGGGAGCAGGUACUACGUCUUUGACAGUAAGGGUAAUGCCACUGACACUGAGGCCACAGAGCUGCUGGAGAAGAUAGAGGAGAUGGUGGCAGGGAACAAUGGGAGCCACUUUGAAGUUGAGGGUGCAGUGUUGCAGAACAUUGAGGAGAAGAGAAGGUGGAGAGAUCGGAAGAAAGACGUCUGAAAACGCAGAAGGAAAGGAAGAAACUAAAUGCACUUCUGAAAGAGGAGACCCACAUCCUAACCAAACUGAGAUUCCUAAUGCUGGGGUGGGUCUUUGUUGGGAAAAGUGCUGCUGGAAACGCCAUCUUGAACACUUCUAAGUUUGAGGCUGGAAGGAGAAGCGUAAAAUCUACACAACAGUCGGGUAAGGUUGGGGGGAGGCAAGUCACUGUCGUGGACACACCCGGAUGGUGGAAAUUCUUUCUGGUCUAGUUCACUUCUCCCUCGGUGAAGUCAGAAAUACUGAAGGGUGUUUCUCUUUGUUGUCCGUUUCCCAAUGCUGUCCUCCUGAUGAUUCCUGUAGACACAGCGUUUGCUGAGGAACAGAGGAAGGUGACACAGGACAACAUGAAGCUGCUAKGAGAGGGAGUCUGGAGACACACUAUAGCGGUCUUUACCCGGGGGGCAUGUCUGGGAGACACAACUAUCGAGCAGCACAUUGAGAGUGAAGGGAAGGCCCUGCAUUGGCUUAUAGAGAAAUGUGGGAACAGGUAUCAUGUCUUUGACAGUAAGGGUAAAGACACAGACGCUCAGGUCACAGAGCUGCUGGAGAAGAUAGAGGAGAUGGUGGCAGGGAAACAUUUAUUUUGCCUGAGCACUGAGAUCCAUAAACCAGUGGAGACAGGGAUCAUUCCACAGGCAGAUGAUGAAGCCACUGAGAAGAUUUCACAACUUUUCAAUCAGGAAUGGGAUCGGAGAAACUGGGAGAAUUUGGAAAUAGCAAAGACAUCAACUCCACCAAUUCUAAAGGGAAAUAGGAGUAUGUCUGAUGGACCUAACUUCAGUGGAGACAAGCCACCCCUGGAGAGCUCUGGACUGGGAGAGGGAGAAAUCACAAUGUAAGAUCCGAGGGAGGAUCAAGGUGUUAGCACAGGCGGUCAACAAUUAGAAAGAUUGCAGUCGAUAGAUCCGGAGGUGAGAGAACAGYGGAAGGAACUGCUGGAGAAGGAGUGGAGUUGGAGAGAGAUARCUAGUCAGUUGAAUCUGCCAUCUCAUGGUGAGUGGCUGGUAACUUUGGAUAAUCUGCAUCGGUUUUAAAUUCACCGAAAUGUUUUUGUCACAGAAAUCUGUUCUCUAGCUACAGCCUCUCUAUGGGUCUCUGAUGCCUAAAUAAUAGCUUAGUAAUGCCGAUACAGAGUAGAAGUAUUCAAUCAACGAUUUACUGACAUUUUGAUAUGAAUGCAUUUUUAUUGGGCAAAACAAAUCUCAGACGCAAUAUUCGGACAUGAUCAGCAAGGAUUUCCCUGUUGUUGAAGUUAUAUUGUGCCACAGAUAACAUCUCCGAGMCAGACGCUGAAGAGCUGAAGAGAUCCCGUCACAAAGUCUUAGCGUGGCUGAAGAGCUCUGGAUAUGGCACUGCCUCUACCCCAAGUAUGGACAGUAUACACAGCAGUAAGACAGAGGACUUCGUGACAGAUGUGGGCAACUAGUUCAGAUGAAGAGAAACAUCAGGUURUAAUCGUAUCUAGUUUAGGAGUGAAUCUGACUGGUAUCUGCAGACGUAAACCAGGCWACAGAGGUGUGAGAGAUUGCUAGGCGUUGAGAGCUCUGGUUUAACUACGGGGUGGCAGUUAGCCUAGCGGUUUGAAUGGUUYGAAUCCCCAAGCCGAAUAGGUGAAAAAUAUGUUGAUGUUUCCUUGAGCAAGGCAUUUAACCCUAGUUGCUCGGGAUAAGAGUGUCUGAUAAAUGACGGAAAUGUAACUAACACUGUGAUGCUAUAUUGUUUUGCAAUCACGAUAGAACAUCAGAAUGUGUGCUGCCAUUCUUUCACCACGUUGAAAGAUGUUCUUCAUCUCCACUUUGUAAACAAAACAAAAAUAAUAACUACGGUGGGGCAGACAGUGGCGCUGUUUCCCUUUAAAGCUUUAACUUAGUUUAUGUUUUACCUUCUCUUACUUUUUGAUUUGUAAAUAUAUUAUUAACAGUAGAUUAUUUACAAACUGAGUACAUAUACUACACAUAUUG